rnacentral:rRNA from 1 species
UACGGAGGAUCCAAGCGUUAUCCGGAUUCAUUGGGUUUAAAGGGUGCGAAGGCGGACUUGUAAGUCAGUGGUGAAAUCCUACGGCUCAACUGUAGAACUGCCAUUGAUACUGCAAGUCUUGAGUAUACUUGAAGUGGCUGGAAUGUAUCAUGUAGCGGUGAAAUGCUUAGAUAUGAUACAGAACACCGAUUGCGAAGGCAGGUCACUAAGUUAUAACUGACGCUCAUGCACGAAAGCGUGGGGAUCAAACAGGAUUAGAUACCCUGGUAGUCCACGCCCUAAACGAUGAUUACUCGAUGUUGGCGAUAUACAGUCAGCGUCUGAGCGAAAGCAUUAAGUAAUCCACCUGGGGAGUACGAUCGCAAGGUUGAA